GACGAACGCUGGCGGCGUGCCUAAUACAUGCAAGUAGAACGCUGAAGCGAGGAGCUUGCUCUUCUUGGAUGAGUUGCGAACGGGUGAGUAACGCGUAGGUAACCUGCCUUGUAGCGGGGGAUAACUAUUGGAAACGAUAGCUAAUACCGCAUAACAAUGGAUGACACAUGUCAUUUAUUUGAAAGGGGCAAUUGCUCCACUACAAGAUGGACCUGCGUUGUAUUAGCUAGUAGGUGAGGUAAUGGCUCACCUAGGCGACGAUACAUAGCCGACCUGAGAGGGUGAUCGGCCAACCUGGGACGGAGACACGGCCCAGACUCCUACGGGAGGCAGCAGGAGGGAAUCUUCGGCAAUGGGGGCAACGCUGACCGAGCAACGCCGCGUGAGUGAAGAAGGGUUUCGGAUCGGAAAGCUCUGUUGUAAGUCAAGAACGGGUGUGAGAGUGGAAAGUUCACACUGUGACGGUAGCUUACCAGAAAGGGACGGCUAACUACGUG
rnacentral:rRNA from 1 species